UAUGUCAUUUGCUACCGGAAAAAGCCCAUAAGCUGCAAUUGAAUUGAGGUAUUGCCGAGAGAGAGAGAGAGAGAGAGAGUAGGGUAAUGAAGACGGAGAUGGUGGAGGAGGACGUGAAACAGGAGCUGAAGAAGGGGAUUGACGAGUCUCAGAUAGAGGCUGCACUGCGCUCUCGCCUCGAACACUUAAAGGAGAAUGCCAACUCCUUCACGUUGGAAAGAGUUCGUAGGUUAAUCGAGAAAGACUUGGACAUUGACAAGUAUGCCAUAGAUAUACAUAAAAGAUUCAUUAAGCAGUUCCUAGAGGAGCAUAUGGAGAGUGCCAAUGAAGAUAAUACUACAAAAGAUUCCAAAGAAAGUAUGGAGAGUGCCAAUGAAGAUAAUACUACAAAAGAUUCCAAAGAAGGUAUGGAGAGUGCCAAUGAAGAUAAUAACACUACAAAAGAUUCCAAAGAAAGUGUGAAGAAAGAAACUUGUUUAACUGACUGUGAAGUGGAAAAAUCACCUGAAGAGCACAAGAUAAAGAAAGAUGUAAAAGAUUCUGGAGCUGAAGAUGAGAAGAAAUUAGAUGACUCUCCUAUAAUGGGUGUCUUGGAGUCCAAACCUCGUUUGGUGGAUGCUCAAGAUGCAAAGGCUAGUGAAAGCUCAAUAAAGAAGGCCAUUCGGGAAAGCGCUGCCUAUAUUAGGGCUAAUGCUGAGACAAUGACUCUGGCCAGUGUUCGUCGAUAUUUGGAGGAGGAAAUGGGCCUUGAAAAAGGUACUCUUGAUCCUUUCAAGAAGUUCAUAAAGGAAGAAAUAGAUAAGGCAUUGACUUCUGAAUCACCAAAAUCUAAAAGCAGUAUUAAGAAGACAUCUGAGAAGCAAACUAAACCAGCAAAGAAGAUUAUUGCUAAAGGAACUUCUGACUCUUUAGACAGUGAAAGUGAUAAGGGGGAUCCCGGACCUGGAUCAGUUAAGAAAGCUGUUCCAAAAGGGAAGAAUGAGAAAUCUGAAGGCCCUAAGAAACGUAAAAGUUCUGAAAUGAAAUCUGAUGUCCCUAACAAGAAACAGAAGGUUGUGAAGAAGUCAUCUGAAAGUAAUGAUGCAGAAAGUGAUAGGAGUGAGUCUGAAGAUUGUAAAUCUCCGUCAACUGCUGCAAAACCUGCAAGGAAGAAAGCCACGCCAGCAGCUGGAUACGGAGAACAUGUAGAAAAUUUGAAAUCAAUAAUCAAAGCUUGUGGAAUGAGGUUUUCUCUUGACUUUUUGUUUGUCAAGGAUUUUCCCAUGUUUACACCCAAUAUUCUUACCACUUGUACCUCUCCACAGCAUUCCUCCUUCCAUUUACAAGAAAGCUAAGCAGGUUCCAGAAGAUGAACGUGAGGAAUUCUUAAGUAAGGAGUUAGAAGACAUACUCUCAAGAGAAGGGCUGUCAAGUAAUCCUUCUGAGAAAGAAAUUAAAGAAGUAAAAAAGAAAAAAGAAAGAGCUAAAGAACUAGAAGGAAUUGACCUCAGCAACAUUGUUUCAAGUACACGAAGAAGGUCAACGACCAGCUUUGUGCCUCCUCCAAAACCCAAGUCACCUGUUAAAGAUGACAAGAGUGAUGCUGAAGAUAGUGACAAAGAGGAUUCAAGUGAUGACAGUGAUACUGAGGAAGAUGGUGAUGGUUCUCAGAUUGAUGAGAUAAAUGAAGAUCAUGAAGAAGACAGUGACUGAAUCUUAUGUAGCCAUCUCAGAAGAACUCUGACGCACAAAGACCAUGCACAAAGACAAUUGCUGUUCAAAUUGAUUUGGGAGCUGGAAUUUGUAAUAUAUGUCAAAGAGGGCUUUCCAUCACAGUUUUGAGACUUAGCUGCUUUUCGAAGGUGUAGUCUACUAGUACUUUGGACUAAAAUCAUUCUAUUCUCUGCUGUAGGAGGCGGCAAAGUUGCUGCUGCUUGUAGACUGUGAUGGGAAGUAACUUACAAACAGUUUUUGGAUAUUUGUAACUUGUCUAGGAUUGUUAUAAAUAUAUCUUUGGAAAAAAAUAACAAAAAAAAAAAAAAAAAAACGAAGGGAAGAUCCACAUUGUG